AGCAGAGUAGUCUUCUUCUUCUG
rnacentral:snRNA from 1 species